GAAUAUUGGAGAAUGGGGGGAACCCUGAUCCAGCCAUGGCGCGGGUGUGAAGAAGGCCUUUUGGUUGUUAAGCACCUUAAGCGAGGAGGAGGAGCUCUUGGGUCAUACCCAAGAUGCCUGGACGCUACUCGCCGGAUCAGCACCGGUCAACGCUGUGCCAGCUGCCGCGGUAAUACAGAGGGUGCAAUCGUUAAUCGGAGUUACUGGGGGUAAAGCGUGCGUAGGUGGCCAAUUAAGUCAAAUGUGAAAUCGCGGAGCUUAACUUGGGGAUUGCAUGCGAUACUGGUUGGCUAGAGUAUGGGAGAGGAUGGUAGAAUUCCAGGUGUAGCGGUGAAAUGCGUAGAGAUCUGGAGGAAUACCGAUGGCGAAGGCAGCCAUCUGGCCUAAUACUGACAAUGAGGUGCGAAAGCAUGGGGAGCAAACA
rnacentral:rRNA from 1 species